UACGAAGGGGGCUAGCGUUGCUCGGAAUCACUGGGCGUAAAGGGUGCGUAGGCGGGUCUUUAAGUCAGGGGUGAAAUCCUGGAGCUCAACUCCAGAACUGCCUUUGAUACUGAAGAUCUUGAGUUCGGGAGAGGUGAGUGGAACUGCGAGUGUAGAGGUGAAAUUCGUAGAUAUCAAGCAGAACACCUGCGGCGAAGGCGGCCUUCUGGACGAUGACUGACGCUGAGACACGAAAGCGUGGGGAGCAAACAGG
rnacentral:rRNA from 1 species